AACGUAGGUGGCAAGCGUUAUCCGGAAUUACUGGGCGUAAAGGGUGUGCAGGCGGGGUUGCAAGUGGUGUAUGAAAUAUCCCAGCUUAACUGGGAGGGGUUAUGCCAGACUGCAACUCUAGAGGACGAGAGAGGGGGGUGGAACUGCGAGUGUAGAGGUGAAAUUCGUAGAUAUUCGCAAGAACACCAGUGGCGAAGGCGGCUCACUGGCCCGAUACUGACGCUGAGGCACGAAAGCGUGGGGAGCAAACAGG
rnacentral:rRNA from 1 species